AGAGUUUGAUCCUGGCUCAGAAUCAACGCUGGCGGCGUGCCUAACACAUGCAAGUCGAACGCGAAAGUCCCGCAAGGGAUCAGUAGAGUGGCAAACGGGUGAGUAACACGUGGGUGACCUGCCUUCGAGCGGGGGAUAACGUCCCGAAAGGGUCGCUAAUACCGCAUGACAUCCUGCCUUUGAACAGGUGGAGAUCAAAGCUGGGGAUCGCAAGACCUAGCACUCGAAGAGGGGCCCGCGCCUGAUUAGCUAGUUGGUGGGGUAACGGCUCACCAAGGCUACGAUCAGUAUCCGGCCUGAGAGGGCGGACGGACACACUGGGACUGAGACACGGCCCAGACUCCUACGGGAGGCAGCAGUGGGGAAUUGUUCGCAAUGGGCGCAAGCCUGACGACGCAACGCCGCGUGGAGGAUGAAGAUCUUCGGGUCGUAAACUCCUUUCGAUCGAGACGAAUGUCCUCGGGGUGAACAAUCCCGAGGGGUGACGGUACCGAGAGAAGAAGCCCCGGCUAACUCCGUGCCAGCAGCCGCGGUAAUACGGGGGGGGCAAGCGUUGUUCGGAAUUACUGGGCGUAAAGGGCUCGUAGGUGGCCAACUAAGUCAGACGUGAAAUCCCUCGGCUUAACCGGGGAACUGCAUCUGAUACU
rnacentral:rRNA from 1 species